rnacentral:rRNA from 1 species
UAACGCGUGAGAAUCUGCCCUCAGGAGGGGGAUAACGGCUGGAAACGGCCGCUAAUACCCCAUAUGCCGCGAGGUGAAAUGAGAAAUCGCCUGAGGAUGAGCUCGCGUCUGAUUAGCUAGUUGGUGGGGUAAGAGCCUACCAAGGCAUCGAUCAGUAGCUGGUCUGAGAGGAUGAUCAGCCACACUGGGACUGAGACACGGCCCAGACUCCUACGGGAGGCAGCAGUGGGGAAUUUUCCGCAAUGGGCGCAAGCCUGACGGAGCAACGCCGCGUGAGGGAUGAAGGCCUCUGGGCUGUAAACCUCUUUUCUCAAGGAAGAAGAACUGACGGUACUUGAGGAAUAAGCCACGGCUAAUUCCGUGCCAGCAGCCGCGGUAAUACGGGAGUGGCAAGCGUUAUCCGGAAUUAUUGGGCGUAAAGCGUCCGCAGGCGGUCUUGAAAGUCUGUUGUUAAAGCGUNGAGCUCAACUCCAUUUCAGCAAUGGAAACUAGAAGACUAGAGUGUGGUAGGGGCAGAGGGAAUUCCCGGUGUAGCGGUGAAAUGCGUAGAUAUCGGGAAGAACACCAGUGGCGAAGGCGCUCUGCUGGGCCAUAACUGACGCUCAUGGACRAAAGCCAGGGGAGCGAAAGGGAUUASAUACCCCUGUAGUCCUGGCCGUAAACGAUGAACACUAGGUGUCGGGGGAAUCGACCCCCUCGGUGUCGUAGCCAACGCGUUAAGUGUUCCGCCUGGGGAGUACGCACGCAAGUGUGAAACUCAAAGGAAUUGACGGGGGCCCGCACAAGCGGUGGAGUAUGUGGUUUAAUUCGAUGCAACGCGAAGAACCUUACCAGGGUUUGACAUCCUGCGAAUCUUUUGGAAACAGAAGAGUGCCUUCGGGAGCGCAGAGACAGGUGGUGCAUGGCUGUCGUCAGCUCGUGUCGUGAGAUGUUGGGUUAAGUCCCGCAACGAGCGCAACCCACGUCUUUAGUUGCCAGCAUUCAGUUGGGCACUCUAGAGAGACCGCCGGUGAUAAACCGGAGGAAGGUGUGGAUGACGUCAAGUCAUCAUGCCCCUUACAUCCUGGGCUACACACGUACUACAAUGCUACGGACAGAGGGCAGCAAACUCGCGAGAGCUAGCAAAUCCCAUAAACCGUGGCUCAGUUCAGAUCGUAGGCUGCAACUCGCCUACGUGAAGGAGGAAUCGCUAGUAAUCGCAGGUCAGCAUA